rnacentral:rRNA from 1 species
GACGAACGCUGGCGGCGUGCUUAACACAUGCAAGUCGAACGAAGUGGAGAACGGGUGAGUACUACGUGGGUAACCUGCCCUCCUUUUUGGGAUAAGCCUUGGAAACGGGGUCUAAUACCGAAUAAAGGGGGAUGGGCUCGCGGCCUAUCAGCGUGUGGGUGGGGUGAUGGCCUACCAAGGCGGUGCCGGGUAGCCGGCCUGGGAGGGUGACCGGCGACAUUGGGAGUGAGAUACGGCCCAGGCUCCUACGGGAGGCAGAAGUGGGGGAUAUUGCACAAUGGGCGAAAGACGGAUGCAGCGACGCCGCGUGGGGGAUGAAGGCUGUCGGAUUGUAAACCUCUUUCGCUAUCGAAAGGGUAGGUGGAGAGGAAGCGCCGGCUAACUACGUGCCAGCCGCCGCGGUAAUUC